CGUGCAUGCGCACUUGUGCGUGUACUCGCGCGCGCUCCCUGCUUCAUGGUUAAAAAGUCCAGUGGCCGUCUCUGCUGUCUUUGGGCUUGCGGAUUAGAUCCACAGGAACAUUUCUGUAGGGGUGUACUGGAGAAAGAGUGAUUAAUAGAAGAACUACAGCUACACCAACUUGUGUCCAAAAUGCAGACUUGUGAAUGCAGUGAAUGUGAGGGAAACUACCCUUGCACAGACAUCCUAAAUUUUGUGAGCGUAGUGUUUGCUAUUAGACAGUCUAUAAAGCAUCCAA